GAUGAACGCUGGCGGCGUGCCUAAUACUUGCAAGUCGAGCGAAGCGGUGACGGGUGAGUAACACGUGGAUAACCUCCUCUAAGACUGGGAUCACUUCGGGAACCCGGAGCUAAACUGGAUACUUAUAGAUUGAUCCGCGCUGCAUUAGCUAGUUGGUAAGGUAACGGCUUACCAAGGCAACGAUGCAUAGCCGACAUGAGAGGGAAAUAGGGCACACUGGAACGAUGACAAGGUCCAGACGACUAGGGGAGGAAGCAGUAGGGAAGAUUGCGAAAUGGGCGAAAGCCUGACGGAGCAACGCGGCGUGAGUGAUGAAGGUCGUGGGAUCGUAAAACUCUGGUAGUAGGGAAGCGGAAGCUAAUCAGAAGGACACGGCUAACUACGUGCCAGCAGCCGCGGUAAUAC
rnacentral:rRNA from 1 species